AGAGUUUGAUCCUGGCUCAGAACGAACGCUGGCGGCGUGUCUUAAGCAUGCAAGUCGAGCGGCAAGGGCUAGCAAUAGCCCCUAGAGCGGCGGACUGGUGAGUAACACGUGGGUGAUCUACCUUUGGGAUGGGGAUAGCCAUUAGAAAUAGUGGGUAAUACCGAAUACGCUCCCUUGGCCGCGGCCAGGGGAGGAAAGGCGCUACGGCGCCACCCGGAGAUGAGCCCGCGCCCCAUUAGUUAGUUGGUGAGGUAAUGGCUCACCAAGACGAUGAUACGUAGCCGACCUGAGAGGGUGAUCGGCCACAUUGGGACUGAGACACGGCCCAAACUCCUACGGGAGGCAGCAGUAGGGAAUCUUCCGCAAUGGACGAAAGUCUGACGGAGCAACGCCGCGUGAGUGAAGAAGGUUUUCGGAUCGUAAAACUCUGUUGUCAGAGAAGAACAAGUCGGAGAGUAACUGCUCCGGCCUUGACGGUAUCUGACCAGAAAGCCACGGCUAACUACGUGCCAGCAGCCGCGGUAAUACGUAGGUGGCAAGCGUUGUCCGGAUUUAUUGGGCGUAAAGCGAGCGCAGGCGGUUCCUUAAGUCUGAUGUGAAAGCCCACGGCUCAACCGUGGAAGGUCAUUGGAAACUGGGGAACUUGAGUGCAGAAGAGGAGAGUGGAAUUCCAUGUGUAGCGGUGAAAUGCGUAGAUAUAUGGAGGAACACCAGUGGCGAAGGCGACUCUCUGGUCUGUAACUGACGCUGAGGCUCGAAAGCGUGGGGAGCAAACAGGAUUAGAUACCCUGGUAGUCC
rnacentral:rRNA from 1 species